CCUAAACAGGCAAGACCCGGCCCAAGGUCCAUCAGAUUAUGGGGGUAAUACCCCGCUUUACAUUUUCAUUUUCAUACCAAACAUCACCCUAUACUCUCUCUCCUCUCCUCCCUUUCCCUUUUACCCUAACCCUAAGCCGCCGCCUCACGUUUUCUUCUCUCUCAUGCAAGAAAUAGCAAUGCUGUAGAAAGCACAGUGUUUUGCAGUCUUCGUACGUCUGUUUACAUGGUACAAUUAAUGGCUUCAACCUCGUUUCCACCUUCCUCACCCCAAACGCGCAUUAAGGCUCCAAGUUCAAUUCUUGGUACAACUGCACACACAAAAGGUAACAUUUUAUCUUGUUAUUCCUUUUCUUGUAUUUUCCUUGUUUUAGUUUUAGGCAAUAGUGAACUAUUUAACCUAGGAAGCAUUGUUAAUGUGAGUUAGGGGUUAUCAUGUUAUCAUUUUUCUUUCCUUGCUUAGUUUGAUUAUUAGUGAUGGUUUACUUAGUGUAAGAGUAUUGUUAGUAGGAAUAGUACUUAGUUGAAGUCAUUUUGUGAUCACUUUCCUGUAGUCCUCCUUGCUUGGUUGAGUAAUGAUUUAUUGAUGUUACCAAUGUGAAUAUGCUUAGCUUGGGUUGAUAUCUUAAUAAUGCUAUGAUAGUUUGUGGUUAUUUGUGGCAAAUAUGUGAUCAUGAUCAAUUAGUAGUAUUUUACAAAUCGAGUUUUAAAUGUAGUUGUUUUUGGUUUAAGUACAUCGGUGCGAUAAUUCAUCCUUUGUCUUGAUCAUUUAUUUGAGUAGAUUAAAUUUAGAGAAUAAUGGGAGAAAAUUACUGAAAUGAGCUUGAGUGUAGAAGGAUGUUGCUUGGAGUUAAAAUUUAGGACUUGAUAUGAUUACUGAGAGUGAAAUUGAGUAGUUUAUCCUUGUAAAAAAAUGAAAUAGUUUGAAGUGCAUGUGAUAUCUGCUGCUUGCCCAAUUUUCAACAUGAGUGUCCUGUUUUGGUCACUAGAUACUUAAACUAACCUGCUAAUGGUGUAACAAACAUGACUAAUGAUAGGGUGAUAGAGUGAAACUGAUAUUUUGAUGACGGCAUGUUGUGUGUAGUGUUGUCUAUGAGGUUCAUAUUUUUCUAGAAUCACUUGGAUCUGAUCCAUGUAAAAAGCAGCCUUAAAUAGGAGACACUUGGACCAUAUAGGACUCUGUUAAAGAUGAAAGAACUUAAAACCCUAUCAUAAUCAGUCCUCUAAGUUGAGUUAACCUGUAAAUGUUAGUUGUUUUUGUUGUUGGUGCUUAACUUGGUUGAAUUACAAGGGGAGAAGGUCAUAAUGUGUGUAUAUGUGAACUCUAAGUCACAUGAUCAAGGGAAGCCUUUUAAAGGCACCUUAGAGUGAGGAUUGAGAAGAACCAAGUAUAACUUGGCUCAUAGUAUCUUUCCCCCCACAUAAAAGGUGUCAUGGCAUGCACUCAGGUCUAUGUGAUAUGUGUUUACCAUAUCCAUGCUAUCAAUCUUCAUCCUUAUCAUUAAACUAAGAAUUGCAAUAAAAUGAACCUGCUGUUGAUCAAGUAUGGCCAACAUAGUUAAAGAACAAGGACUAUCCACCUAAGAACACUCAUCCUCAAAGAAAGCGAGCAAAGAGUUGGCUAAGUUGAAACUUGAUUAGUAAAGUCCUACUUCAAAAUGAAGUGCCAAGUCCAAGUCACUUAGUCUAUUUGAAAUCCUUGAGUUAUUCUUCUUCCUCAGAAUUUUGCUGCAAACUGGAUGUCAUAGUUGUUGCUUUCUUUCCUUUCAUUUCACCUAAGUCUUAGCACGUAUGUAUCCUGUGAAUCUUUGUACUGCUUUUACUCUACUAAACAUGACUAGGACUUGAAAGGCCAUUCUUAUGCUGAGUACCUAAAUCUAUUUAAACCGUGAUCUGUUUGUGCUGUGUUUGCUGGUUCAAAACUGCAGGAUUUUUAUACUUCUGCAUCCUGUUUCUGAAUACCUAGACUUAGUUAAAUCCUGUUUUUACUUAUACUGAACCUGUUUGUCUAAGUCAAGAGCUCUUAUACCUUGUGCAUUUUUUUUUUUAUUUUUUUAUUGUCAUGACAAAAUACUUCCCAUGGCCUCUCCCUUAUUCUGUCUUUGGUGCACUGUGCGAACAUGUUCUUCCUAUUUUUGGCAUUGCUUAGGAUAGUGAAACAGUUAGGAUGUUUAAUUAGAUAUUCCUGUAUUCUUCUAUGUAAACUACUUGGGGCCUGAAUUUGUGCCAAGCUUUGUGUCAAUAGAUAUCCUGCUUCAGCAUUGGUUUGACUAGUUCUGAACCUAAGAUAGUCUUGGUGUGGGAAAUAUGAUCAUUACCUACAGAAUUGGGAGUAGAUACUUAGGUAAUUGGUGGAGUCAUAGGUUCAAAGAAAUAUUCAAGGAUAGAUAGACAUAAAAUUAUACUAAGUUAUUAAGAAAUGAAGAAGGUAUACACAUGGUAUAUACUUGAUAUACACAUUAUGUGUGCAUAUCAUUAGGCAUAUUGAGUGUAUAUGAGUAAGCAGGCUAGUCAUAUAUAGGGUAUAUACAUUAAAUGAGCAAAAAGGGACAGGAAUCCCGUUAAGCCUUAAUUUUUAACUUAGCUUCAUUUUAGAAGAUAGAUGGGCCUAGCCCAAUUCCGAUUCAAUUAAGAGUGUACCAGAUUUCAUUAAGUCCAAAAGUAAAAGAAAGAGGGUGACCUGGGUAUCUUUCUUUUGUAUCCAAUCUUGGGUUGUCAAAGCCCAAUAUUCUGAAACUGUAUAUACAUGUGCAUAUGUGUUGUCCUAUAUUUGAGUUAUAUAUAUGUAUAUAUACAUGUGUGAUAAGUUCAGCGAAUUAAUUCUAACCGGGGUUUUCUUGUUUUUCUCCCUCCUCCACUGCCUAGCUGCUUGGGCCGAGUUUUGUAUCCAACCUGUUGGGCCAAGGCCCAACAAGCAAUUCUUUCACAUUAAAGAGUUCGUUUGAAGAAAAGAAGCUAAUAUAGAUACAUUAAAUACUCAGAAGGCCCAGCCAUGGGUGAAAAUGGCCAACUAGGGGCAUGGUACACCCCUAGCCUUCCCUCUUCAUUUAUUAUUUAUCUAAGCAUUUUCCUCAAUGAUGUUGUACUUGUGUUUGUAAUGUUUGUAAAACUCAUAUAUUAUUGGAAUUUUUAUGGUUUGAA